rnacentral:rRNA from 1 species
GACGAACGCUGGCGGCGUGCCUAAUACAUGCAAGUCGAACGGAGCGGCGGACGGGUGAGUAAUGCCUAGGAAUCUGCCUGGUAGUGGGGGAUAACGUCCGGAAACGGGCGCUAAUACCGCAUACUAUCAGAUGAGCCUAGGUCGGCUUAGCUAGUUGGGGGGGUAAAGGCCUACCAAGGCGACGAUCCGUAACUGGUCUGAGCGGAUGAUCAGUCACACUGGAACUGAGACACGGUCCAGACUCCGACGGGAGGCAGCAGUGGGGAAUAUUGGACAAUGGGCGAAAGCCUGAUCCAGCCAUGCCGCGUGUUUGAAGAAGGUCUUCGGAUUGUAAAGCACUUUAAGUUGGGAGGCGUUACCAACAGAAUAAGCACCGGCUAACUUCGUGCCAGCCGCCGCGGUAAUAC